AAAACGACUCUCGGCAACGGAUAUCUCGGCUCACGCAUCGAUGAAGAACGUAGCAAAAUGCGAUACUUGGUGUGAAUUGCAGAAUCCCGUGAACCAUCGAGUUUUUGAACGCAAGUUGCGCCCGAUGCCAUCUGGUUGAGGGCACGUCUGCCUGGGCGUCACGCA
rnacentral:rRNA from 1 species